UUGAAACACUGGUUCCCUUACGAUCACUGAAGUUAAGCAUCUUCAAUCCUGAUCAGUAGCUAGAUGGGUGACUGUUUAGGAAUAUCAAGUGCUGUAAG